GCAACCAAAUAAUGGAGUGGAGGUUGUGAGUUCAAGAGACGGGUGGGGUUUGUUUUUGUUAUGCACAUCUCUCUACAACUAUAUGCUAUGAAUCAAUCUCUAAAUUCUGAACAUAAGUUAUUGACUCAUACAAUGCACUAGAUUGGUAUGGAGUUAUAACAAAUAUUUUUAAAUUUUUGGAGCUAUUAGAUAUAGUUAUUUAAAAUUUAGAGAUCAAACUAAUGUUUGAUUAGACUUUUUGUCCAUGACUAAUCUUUGAGUACUAUGAAUCAAUCUCUGAACAUCAAAUUUGUAGUGGCAAGAGUAAAUUACAGGUAAGGUGGGAAAAUAAAGAAAGGGAACAAGAAAUACUAAAAGAAGAGAAGUGGGUAAUGGAGGUCACAUGAAAGGUAGCUUAGAAAAGAAGAGAGAUCAGAAGAGUUUACGUGAAUAUAAAGCAAAAAGUAGAAGACGAGGAACGCUAUGCCUAUGCAACUACUUCUAGUAAACAUCUUUACACGUUUCUCUAUUAACCAAUCUUGUACUAUAUUUUAUUGUUAAAAAAUAAUGUAUUCGAUGUUCUCAGGACCUAACCACGAGGAACCGAGAAGGGUCAAGUCCUUAAAAUUAAAUGACUCCUCAAGGCAACGGAGUUUACUUUAAAAAGAUCAAAUCCCCAUGACUUUUUAAAAUGAUUUUUUCUUGUUUAGUAUAGAAUAAUGGUUCCUAAUUUUCAGUUUAUAUAUUGUUAGUCAAACAUGUUCUUAUAUUUCAUAAUCCUGUUUUUGUUAACGUAAAGUACUUAGCGGCAUUUUAAUAAUCGUUCUGCCGAUGGUUGUAAGAAAAUGACAAUACUUGAAAAUGGCAGUCAAGGGAAGGACAUAAAUGAAGAUAGGUGAGGAGGAGGGGAUUCUCUAUAAGAGCAACAUUAUCGGGGUAUGAUAGAGGAAGUCGUUAGGCUUUAUAUGAUUUUAUUUAAAUAAAAAUUGUAUAAUUUCGCUGGGACGGACGCGGUUUGUCGUUGGCUAACAUAUUUUUUUUUUGUCCUUAGGUGAUAGGUGUCGGCAAGGGAAUGGUGGAAGCGUUUUGGUUUGAGAAAUGAUUCACGUGUUGCCCUUUGGGCCUUGUCUCUUUGAGAAGAGAGAGAGAGAGAGUUGAAGAUCGAUGGCGGAAGGCGCGAUGAUCCCCAGCAACUGAAGAAGGGAAGCCAUAGCUUCAGGCAGAGGCUACUUCUCUGGACCCUUUCUUCGACGCCUAUCAUCAGGCAGAGGCUGAAUCCUAGCCUCCAACAUCACGAGAUGUCUCUCCUCCGCCUCUUCGAGACUGUCUCCGAUGACUGCGUCACACUUGCCCUCAUCCAGAUUAAAUUGACUGAUGUUACUGAUCCCAUGGUCAAUGAGAAGGUUGCUGAUCGGGUAGGAGAGGAUUUAGAAGGAGUUACCCACAAAGUUUACUUUGAUAUUCAGAUCAAUGGUUCACCUGAAUGAGUUACCCACAAAGUUUACUUUGUCCCCUCUUCUUCAUUGGGCGUAGAGGGAAAGAUUGUGGUUGAGCUGAUUUUGCUGGGCAAAUCUGGAUGCAGGGGCAAACAUUAUCUGAUUUUUUCUUAAUUGUUCUGAUCUUUUUUUUUGGUUUCGGGUAUGUGGAUUUGAUUUUGUGAUCGUUGUUCUGAUUGUGCAAGGAGGAGUCUCUUGCACGUAGAACAUAGAAACUACCUUUUUAUAUAGUUUGUAAUCAAAGAUUUACUCUACUUAUUUCUGCUUCACGUUUCAUUGUUGA